rnacentral:lncRNA from 1 species
CAUGUCUCCUCUCGACCCAUCUGUAAAUCUUUGUCUGGGCAGAAUGAAUGUGUUAACUACAUUCACUUUGCUUCUGGCAACCACCUUCUACUGGACAUCAGCCGAAGACUCGGAUCCUUUGGUGGUCCUAUACAAAUCUGAAACGUUCACCUCAUCACCUGGAUCUUCAGUCAAACUCACCUGUCAGCUGUACUAUGACCCGGUGCAGUGUGGUCAGGUCCAUGCCGUGUGGUUUCACCAGGACCCAGUGUUUGAGCUCACUGACCCGGGGAAAUAUUUAACUGUAGUGAAUGAGACCAUCACAGAGAACAACUGGAGACGCAGACACGUCCAGACCGAGAUAUUAGACCUGAGCUCCAAGGAUCAGGGGCGUUACCAGUGCCAGGCCGAGGCUGAAUUGAUUAAACAGGAGUUCAUGGGUCAUUUCAUCACUGUUAUUGUAAAAGGCUGACCGGAGGUUUUGGCACAUCCAUGGAUGACAUAUUUUCCUUACUAUUUUCCAUCAAAUAAGAGACAUCCAUGGAUGACAUAUUUUCCUUACUAUUUUCCAUCAAAUAAGAGACAUGUCACUAUUAACUUUAAAAAUUAAAUAUGUAUAUGGGCCAUUUCAUAUUGUAACUUGUACUUUAGAAGUUUUCAGAGCAAAUAAACUUCAACUGUGUCCUUUUUACAAAGUAUUUUGUGCAAACCAAACCACAGGACAGGAAAGAGCAGCUGUUUCACUACGAUCAAGCACAACCACAAGUCAAGUACUCAAUAUCAAGGUAAUUAUGUUUAGUCUGAGCGGUUGCACAAUAAUGCAAGUAUUUCACAUACAUAGUCUAUCAGUCUCAUGGUGAUGGUGUAUGGAUUUCCUUUCCAUAUAAUGUAUACUUUAAAAUGUAAUUUUUUUAAGAAGCAAGUGACCAUAAUAAAGUAUUUACUCAAG